rnacentral:rRNA from 1 species
UACAGAGGCCCCAAGCGUUACUGAGAAUCACUGGGUUUAAAGGGUGCGUAGGUGGUCCGUUAAGUUCGUUGUGAAAGCCCUGGGCUCAACCCAGGAACUGCUUCGAAUACUGGCGGACUUGAGGCUAGUAUGGGUCACUGGAACUGACGGUGGAGCGGUGAAAUGCGUAGAUAUCGUCAGGAACGCCAAUGGUGAAGACAGGUGACUGGGCUAGAUCUGACACUGAGGCACGAAAGCGUGGGGAGCAAACAGG